GGAGAGAUGGCUCAGUGGUUAAGAGCACUGACUCCUCUUCCAGAGGUCCUGAGUUCAAUUCCCAGCAACCACA
rnacentral:tRNA from 1 species